AGAGUUUGAUCCUGGCUCAGGAUGAACGCUGGCGGUCUGCUUAACACAUGCAAGUCGAACGGAGGAAAUACUUAGUGGCGGACGGGUGAGUAACGCGUGAGAAUCUGCCUUCAGGACGGAGACAACAGUUGGAAACGACUGCUAAGCCCCGAUGAACCGAAAGGGAAAAUAUUUAUAGCCUGAAGAUGAGCUCGCGUCCGAUUAGCUAGUUGGGGGGGUAAAGGCCCACCAAGGCGACGAUCGGUAGCUGGUCUGAGAGGACGAUCAGCCACACUGGGACUGAGACACGGCCCAGACUCCUACGGAGGCAGCAGUGGGGAAUUUUCCGCAAUGGGCGAAAGCUGACGGAGCAAGACCGCGGGGGAAGAAGGCUCUUGGGUUGUAAACCCCUUUUCUCUGGGAAGAAAGUUGUGAAAGCAACCUGACGGUACCAGAGGAAUCAGCAUCGGCUAACUCCGUGCCAGCAGCCGCGGUAGACGGAGGAUGCAAGCGUUAUCCGGAAUGAUUGGGCGUAAAGGUCCGCAGGUGGCAGUUCAAGUCUGCUGUCAAAGACCGGGGCUUAACUUCGGAAAGGCAGUGGAAACUGAACAGCUAGAGUAUGGUAGGGGCAGAGGGAAUUCCUGGUGUAGCGGUGAAAUGCGUAGAGAUCAGGAAGAACAUCGGCGAANNNNCUCUGCUGGCCAUAACUGACACUCAGGGACGAAAGCUAGGGGAGCGAAUGGGAUUAGAUACCCCAGUAGUCC
rnacentral:rRNA from 1 species